AUUGAACGCUGGCGGCCGGCCUAACACAUGCAAGUCGAGCGAGCGGCGGACGGGUGAGUAAUGUCUGGGAAACUGCCUGAUGGAGGGGGAUAACUACUGGAAACGGUAGCUAAUACCGCAUACCAUCAGAUGUGCCCAGAUUGGAUUAGCUAGUAGGUGGGGUAAUGGCUCACCAAGGCGACGAUCCCUAGCUGGUCUGAGAGGCUGACCAGCCACACUGGAACUGAGACACGGUCCAGACUCCGAAGGGAGGCAGCAGUGGGGAAUAUGGGACAAUGGGCGCAAGCCUGAUGCAGCCAUGCCGCGUGUGUGAAGAAGGCCUUCGGGUUGUAAAGCACUUUCAGUGGGGAGGCGUUACCCGCAGAAGAAGCACCGGCUAACUCCGUGCCAGCAGCCGCGGUAAUUC
rnacentral:rRNA from 1 species